CCAUCAGUAAUACUCCCUCCGUUAUUUUUAUUUUAUUUGCAUCACUUGAAAAGACAAUAAAAAUUUAGGAAAGUAAUAUAAUAUUGUGGGUGGGUGAAUUAAUUAUUAUAAUAAAAAAGUAAGAUGGGGAACAUGAAAGAGAAAGUAUGUGAAAAAGAAUAUAUAUUUUUAUUAUUUAAGUGGGGACAAUGGAAGAGAGGGAAAUAUAAAAUAAUUUGAGUGAGUUUAAAGUAAGAAAGAGAAAUGAUAAAAUAUAAUAUAAGGUUAUCAAAUAUAUAAGUGAUGCAUGUAAAAAAAUAUCCAUAAAUAAAAAGUAAUGCAAAUGAAAAAAAAAAAACGGAGGGAGUAGUACACACAAUGACACAAUGUAACAACCAAAAAAUCCAACGAGACAUUCAAACGUUAUAAAUUUAUAAUUAAUCCAAGGCAACCCAAAUAGAUAUCAAAUCAAGUACAUUUGGAGCACAUUUAAUUCCUUUUUAAGUCGUCCAUAAUAUACAAAAUGAUAAAUCUUAUUUCGACUUUAUCUAUAUUUUAUUGUUUCAUCUUGUGUUUCACCUCUUUCUUUUUUUUUUUUUUUUUUUUUUUUUUUUUUUUUUUUUUUUUAGCUACAUAUGUCACAAACUAGGUUUCAAUCACUUUAUUGAUAAUAAUGCCGAAAUUGAAUUAAAUGUAUGUAAUGAAAUAGAGGAUCCUUUCUGAUACUCUUGUACAUUAUAAAUGACAAUAAGAAUGUUAGUUGUAAGAAGCAAGCUUGGUCAUUUAAAUUUUUAUCUAAGUCACAAAGUCACAUUAUCAAGGAAUAAAAAUGAAUCCUUCCGGUUCUAAUAAUAAUAUUAUUAUUAUUAGUGAAUGUAGUAAUAAUAAUCAAGAGUGGACUUGUAUUGAAAACAAGAUGUUUGAGAAUGCUUUAGUUGAGUUAGAAGUUACCUCUCCUGAUUUUUAUGAAAAAAUCAUGGCUAUUAUGCCAUGGAAAUCUCUUGAACAAAUCAAGAGCCACUAUGAAAAACUCGUUGCAGAUACCGCAAUGAUUGAGCAGGAUGAAAUUGGUGGCCUUGGUGGAGUUGAUAAUCAGUGGCGGACUGGGCCUUGUGCCUGGUGGGUCAAAUGACUCACCAGGGCCCAAAAAAAAUUUUCAAGUUUUUUUUUUUUAAAAAAAAAAAAUAAAAAAAAAAUCUAACUUCAGGUCCCGACACUUCCUCAAGCCCUAGCCCACUGCCUCCUCAGCUGUUCUUCCCUCUUCGCCUCUUGACUUCCUCUUCGCUUCAUCUUCACCAGACUGCCUCCACCCAGCCACCCUCCAGUCGCCUGCUCUGCCUCUGCUGCUUGCCUGCUUGAUGCUUUCCUGCUCCGUCUCCGUGGUCACUGCUCUUCGCAAUCGCUUCGACGCAAUUGCUAAUUCACUAUUAACGCUUCCUCUUCGCUCAUCGGCUCACGCCUCGUCGCCUCCAGUGCUGGCCCUGCUGCUGGCCCUGCUGCUCCGCCUACUCGCCUCAAUCAGCGUCUGCCGUCUGGCAAGGUAAUCAUCAAUUUAUUCUUUUUUUUUUGUGUGAAUUUCUGAUCAAAUUUGCAUUACUUGUUGCUUAAAAUUAGUAUAUACGAUGAAUGUUCAUUGAAUUUGCAUUAUUUGUGUUUUGACUGUUAAAUUGAACUUAUUAUUUUAUGUGAUGCCGGACAUUGUAUAAGACAGCUAUUAGUGUAAGGAGGAUUAUAAAUUUAUAAUUAGAUUACAGUGUGGACUGGUUAGUGGUGCUAGUCGCAUAUUCGGUUGGAAGUUCCGUAUAGACUAGGCGGAUUCAGGAAUUGUAAAGCAUUGUGUCUGAAUUGUGGUUACAUAAACCUUAAAUCAUUCUUAAGUUUUUUCUUGUGAUUGUUGCUGUAAAUUGUUUAAACUGUUAUUACACGGAGAACAGUAGUUAGGGUGUUUAUUAGCUUGUUAGUUAUUAGUUUGUUAAUUUUAGUCUUGUAAUUUCAGAAUGAAGAGAAAACGCAUUCCAAAUGAAAUGCAAAACAUUACUAGCUUUUUUGCUAAAAAGAAUCCUACUCCAACUUCUCUUCCACAUCCAACACAAAAUGAACAAACUAUAUCUCAACCUCAAGAAAGUGAACAACAUUCAUCUCCAUCUCAUUAUUCAACUUAAAAUUCCCCUCAAAAUGAACAAGACCAAUGUUCUCCUAAUGCCCCAAUCUUUGAUGAAAGAUUAAGUGAACAUGAAUUUGCUAAUCUUCCACAAGAUCCAGGAAAGAGGAGAAAGAUGAGUGAAUUUCAUAAAGAUGAUAGAGAUUUAGUGAGAAGAAUUUACAUUCAAAGAAAGUCUUGUCAGCCCAAAGACUUUGUAUUUCCUCAAACUUCUAUUUUUGGCAAAAACCGUCGCUUUUGUGCUAAGUGGUUUGGUACUUGGACUUGGCUUGAGUAUAGUGUGGAAAAGGAUGCUGCCUAUUGGUUGUAUUUUGUAUUGUUUGAAUAUUUGGAUGUAUUUUUUAGUACUAUUAUUUGGUUGUUUGGUAAAA